rnacentral:antisense_RNA from 1 species
CGUCAUGGCAGCUGUGCGCGGGAGACCUUCGGGUCUGCCGGGAUUGAGAAAACACCGGUUCGCCAACCUGCGUACAGCUGCCACCCAU